AUGAUGAAGGACAAAUAUGAGGCUGAGCUGAGCAAAAGAGAAAGUCAAAUCGUCGAUCUGCAAGAAAACCUGAAGUCCCAACAAGCCGAAACCUUGAAGGCAAAAGAGGAAUUAACCAACGCUUUAAGCGUCAUGGAGAAGCUUAAGGAGGGCUACAACAAAGAGCGGGCGGAUUGGGCCACUGAGAAAGCCGCUUUAACUCAACGAGCGGAGAAUGCCGAAGCUGCACUCAAACCGGUGGUGGAUGAAUUAACCAGUAUAAAACGGCAAGUUCAUGCCAUGACCGCUGCUGUCUUUGGAACACACAUUGGUCACUUGGGAUCAGAUGUGCGGAAGAAGUUGAAAGCCGCCUAUACAUUGAUAGAACAACUGUAUACUGGUGCGCAACGGAUCAUCUUCACUGCUUCCCACGACAACCCGCCGCCCACCUUGAUCUAG
rnacentral:rRNA from 1 species